GCGACGAUGGCGGCGGCUGCGGCGAUGGCGGCGCGGGGCUGGCGGCGGCUAGUGCUGCAGAGCAUGGAGUGCGCAGUGUGGACGUGUACAGCUUUGGGAGUGCUGCUGGAGGAGUGCUGCUUCAGCUGCUGUGCCACUAAAUGAGCGUGAUGGAUUGCUGUGGUGUGGUGAGGCUCAACCGAGUGUCUUCUUGGAAGAUAAUACGGGAUUAAUGAUAAUUCCACGUCACAUCUUGCUCAGGGACUGUGCGUAUGUCAUCUACAAUUUCUGCCCUUGGAACAGAAGAUAUUUGCAGCACUGGGAGUUUCUUCUGUUGUCUCCAGUUGUCAUCUUCCCUCCCAAGAUCCUGCUGCUGUUUCGUCUUGUAUUUCACGGGACUCUGCUUGGCGAAUUAGUCUUGAUGAUGCUUUUCAAGGAUUGGACGCUGGAGGGUGCUAAUGCAAUGAGAGCUGAAAUUGUUUUAGCAAAUUAAAGGGUUCCCCUUUGUUACUUGUGAAAUAGUUUUAUUCUUUGUUGCAACAUUUAAAUGGGAAGGCAUCAUCUGUGGUCUAAGCUUACCGGCAGCUGAUCUUGCCCAAUGUGUGUAGUGCUAUAACCAAACAUGUCAAUAAAGCAUUAAGUCUGUGAGGGAUUUCUUUCCUGAACCUUUGUAAAAACAAAACAAAACAAAAUCACUCAUUUUGAGUUCUACACAUUUUUAAGUAUGUCUGUCGAGAUUAUGGGCUUGGGAUGAGUUUUACUUGAAAUUAUGACUUUCUAGUGAUAAAAACACUUCGUCAGGCAGGACUGUUGAGAAACACCUGCAAAACCUGUUUUUGUCCCAAGUCACUUUGGCCCACUGAAACCAGUGUGGUCACACUGCUGGCUAGGUGAGCACCUGAUCAUGGCUCCUGUGCUGGGGAGGAGAGAGGCGGCUUGAACACCGCUGAUGGGACCCUCUGCCUGGGGACGAACCUGGUGGAGCUCUCUAACAUCAAGGUUUGGGGUGGCUAUAUGUCAUAUGUGCACUGUAC
rnacentral:lncRNA from 1 species